GAUGAACGCUGGCGGCGUGCCUAAUACAUGCAAGUCGAGCGAACAGACGAGGAGCUUGCUCCUCUGACGUUAGCGGCGGACGGGUGAGUAACACGUGGAUAACCUACCUAUAAGACUGGGAUAACUUCGGGAAACCGGAGCUAAUACCGGAUAAUAUAUUGAACCGCAUGGUUCAAUAGUGAAAGACGGUUUUGCUGUCACUUAUAGAUGGAUCCGCGCCGCAUUAGCUAGUUGGUAAGGUAACGGCUUACCAAGGCGACGAUGCGUAGCCGACCUGAGAGGGUGAUCGGCCACACUGGAGCUGAGACGCGGUCCAGACUCCUACGGGAGGCAGCAGUAGGGAAUCUUCCGCAAUGGGCGAAAGCCUGACGGAGCAACGCCGCGUGAGUGAUGAAGGUCUUCGGCUCGUAAAACUCUGUUAUUAGGGAAGAACAAAUGUGUAAGUAACUAUGCACGUCUUGACGGUACCUAAUCAGAAAGCCACGGCUAACUACGU
rnacentral:rRNA from 1 species